rnacentral:rRNA from 1 species
GCAGCCACCUUUUAAACCGCGUCAAAGCGUAACCUUAACCCCCAAAAUACCACUAAUUUUCAUGAACCCCUAAUUUAUAAUGAAUGACUCCAUAUUUAUAUGGAAGACACCAUGCUAGGAUUAGUAACAAGAAUUUAUAAUUCUCCAAAAUGCAAAUAUAAACCAACAUGGAUGGACCAUUGGUAGUUACCGAACCUAAAUUCAAUGCAAUAACACCCACAAGAAAACUCUGCAGUACUCACUCGUUAACCUAACACCAGCGCAUUACAGGAAAGAUUUAAAAAAAGAGAAGGAAUUCGGCAAAUGACGGCCCCGCCUGUUUACCAAAAACAUCGCCUCUUGACUUAUAAUAAGAGGUCUAGCCUGCCCAGUGAAUUUUAAACGGCCGCGGUAUCCUAACCGCGCGAAGGUAGCAUAAUCACUUGUUCUUUAAAUGGGGACUCGUAUCAACGGCAUCACGAGGGUUUUACUGUCUCCUCUUUUUGAUCAGUGAAAUUGAUCUUCCCGUGAAGAAGCGGGAAUAAAUUUAUAAGACGAGAAGACCCCAUGGAGCUUUAAACCAAAUAACAACUUAACCACUCACCCCAUAAUAAAUUUAAGCCCUGUUAUAAGGUUUUUGGUUGGGGUGACCGCGGAGUAAAGCAUAUCCUCCACGACGAAAAGAACAGAAUCUUUAUUUAAGAACCACACUUCUAGAAAUUAGUAUACUAACGUUUACUGACCCGACAAUCGAUCAACGGACCAAGUUACCCUGGGGAUAACAGCGCAAUCUACUUCAAGAGCUCAUAUCGACAAGUAGGCUUACGACCUCGAUGUUGGAUCAGGGUAUCCCGGUGGUGCAGCCGCUACCGAAGGUUCGUUUGUUCAACGAUUAAAACCCUACGUGAUCU